GUAUUUUGGAAACACAGGCUUGUACAAUGCAGUAUUUCGGAAACCCAAGCUUAUCUUUUGAGGUUCAAGAGUUGAUGCUACAAAGAACAGGUCAGGUGACCCAACUAGGAAAUAUGGAGCACAAUUUGUGAGAAAAAUUGGAGUGUCUUCCAACAUCUUCACGGUGUUUGUCAAAAUCAGUCUGUCCUUGGACCGGACGAAGGCUUUACAGGCUUACCACAAUUGGGUGUAUAAGAAUAGAAUUGGAAUAGAGUACAUGAGUGUAUUUUAAUAUUGUUGAGUGUACCGGAAUAGAGUCUAGCUAGAUGUAAUAGAGUUAAGAUAUA